UAAAGGCGCAAUGAAAGUGAAGGUCGGCCUCGCGCUGACCGAGGGAGGAUGGGUGGCGCACCGUCGCCGCCCCGCACUCCCGGGGCGUCUCGUUCUCAUCGCGAGAAGAGGCGCACCCAGAGCGUACACGCUGGGACCCGAAAGAUGGUGAACUAUGCCUGGUCAGGACGAAGUCAGGGGAAACCCUGAUGGAGGUCCGUAGCGAUUCUGACGUGCAAAUCGAUCGUCGGAACUGGGUAUAGGGGCGAAAGACUAAUCGAACCAUCUAGUAGCUGGUUCCCUCCGAAGUUUCCCUCAGGAUAGCUGGCGCUCGCUUUGCGAGUCUCAUCCGGUAAAGCGAAUGAUUAGAGGCAUUGGGGUCGAAACGGCCUCAACCUAUUCUCAAACUUUAAAUGGGUGAGAUCUCCGGCUUGCUCGAACUGUUGAAGCCGCGAGAUUGAAUUUUGAACACUAAGGAUCAGAGUGCCAAGUGGGCCACUUUUGGUAAGCAGAACUGGCGCUGUGGGAUGAACCAAACGCCGAGUUAAAGCGCCUAAAUCGACGCUUAUGGGAUACCAUGAAAGGCGUUG
rnacentral:rRNA from 1 species